rnacentral:rRNA from 1 species
UACGUAGGGCGCGAGCAUUAAUCGGAAUUAUUGGGCGUAAAGGGCGCGUAGGCGGAUAUAUAAGUCAGGUGUGAAAUACCAAAGCUCAACUUUGGUGCUGCAUUUGAAACUAUAAAUCUAGAGGAUUGACGGAGAAAGCGGAAUUCCACGUGUAGCGGUGAAAUGCGUAGAUACGUGGAGGAACACCAGUGGCGAAAGCGGCUUUCUAGUUUUUAUCUGACGCUGAGGCGCGAGAGCAAGGGGAGCAAACAGG